CCCACACGUGGUGAGCUCCAACCUCUCUUUCCAACCCCUGAACAUCUGAUCUGAAGUGGACAUCAAUUUUAAUUGUUAUGUACACAACAUGGAUGUGGCACGUGAUGGCAGCAGGGCGCUUGAAUGGUUUCUAACCAAGAUACUGCAUCCGACCACUGCCUCCUGACAGGGUAGUGCAGAUCAAGUAGCCUCCAUUGGGUGACUGCUGCUGAGGCCUAAUUGGCCGAUCGUGGUCGUGCUCCUACUCCUACUCCUGCUCCAGUCCGUUUAAUAUCAAGGACGUCCUCCUCCCCUCCUCCUACCCCCACACGUGGUGAGGUCCAAUGCAUAUGUGGAUAAUCAGGAACUGGUGGUACAACUGUUUAAUCGGUUACUUCAUAAACUGUUCCACUGUGUGCAUGAACAUGUACACAUUUUUUCCUGCUAUUUAUAUACAUAACUAUUGGACAGUGAGAAGAUUUCCAUUUUGUGCGUGAACAUACUUUUUUUUGUCAAUCCAUCUCUUAUCAUGCACACAUCCUAUCAUAUAUUAUAUGAUAAUCUUUUAGUUGCUCACUGUACAUAUAGGUGCUCAAAAUUUUAGAUUCCAUAGAACUUCUGUUUGUAGUGAAAAAAAGGGUAUCUGUAGCUUUUCAGUUGAUGUCUAUUUAAAUCAAUAGAAUACCUGUUGAGUAUAUGUGUUCAUUGGUGCACCAUGCUGAAUUACUUUUCCGUUCAAAAAAGCAAUUACUUUUGUAUAUUGUGAUGCCUCCCAUAGUAGUUUGCACCCUGGAACCAACCAACAGCAGAUGCAAUAUAUUUUUCCAAGUAUAUACCGCCCUUACUGUUUUAAAAAACAUACGUUGUUGAUUCCUUUUUUAUUUUUUCCUACACCCUGCUGUGGGAUUCUUAAUAGCCUUACCUGCAUAUGAACAAACUGCAAGAGACAGAUACAGUUCCUGACCUAUGAAAGGCUGUUUCAUGACUUAUCCAUCUCACAUGACCACCUUCUAUAUCUACAGGUAUUUAUCAGUUCUUUCUACUUACAUGGCGGAUAUAUCUACAAGUAAACCUACAGGUUCUUUGUAGUUCAAAUGCAGUAUCCUAUAUCAUUUUUAUUAUUAUGCAGAACUGUUUGUUCAGUCACAUAUGCCCUUUACUAGAGAGAGCGAAAACGGAAAACUAUUGUGGAGCAAAUUAGAUGGGCGAACCAAUAGAUAAUUAUGUAGCCGUUCUUGGGUGUCAAUGGAUCACAGUUUACUAAUCAUAUCGAGAAAAUAAAUAUAACUACUUGAGAAUAAAGGGAAAAUGAGAAUAAAGGAUGGUUGUGGUAGUAGAAUGGUAGUUUUGCUUAGGCGCAAUCAUACUUAUGGAGUAGUAAAUAACCUGUCAUGUCAUUCUUCAAGUCUGCACAUAGCAUUGUUAUUGUAGGAGCAGAUUUCUCAUCCUUAAGGAACCUGAACUUGCUUAAUAGCCAAUUUAGUGGUGUAAUACUAGUUUCUUGAUGUCAACUCUAAUGCUUCUGUUUACAUUCCUUGAUGUCAUUUCUGUUUUGCAAUCAUAUGACAUUGUCUCAUGUAAAUGAGUAUGGGCUGCUGUCAAUUUUUUAAUCUACAAUUCAUCUAGUGGUUUUUUACAUGGUAGCUUAAUAUCCUCCUUUUCUAAUAUGCAAACUUCUAAUAUGUGAGGUGAAUAAGUGCAUGAGGUGCGGUUCGCCUUAGGCUGCUCCUGCUCGUCGGCUGUCUGGUCCAGCGUCACUUAACCGUUGUGACCUGGCUGGUUUGGUUCAGCUUCGAGCUGCCUACCGCGGAGUGGGAGGCCGACACGCUCAUGAACAUCGAGGCCAGAUCAAGUACGCUGGUGCACUGCGGCAUGCGGCGGCCUAUUUUGUUGUAGUGGUGUUGUAUAUGGUCUCAUCGAGCACUGAGUAUCCAUAUGUUGUUCUAAUCCUGAUGAUGAUGUUGUAGCGUGGACACCAUAUUCAGUUUGUCUUGAUGCUUUAUCUCUUGUGAUUCUUGUCUGAUGCACAUUGUUCCUUGCAGGGUUAUGAUGAUAUUUCCAAGGAAAUAUACUGACCCAGAUGUGACGAAGGGAAGGCCAAAGAAAGAAAACACAAAAACAGUAGCAUGCAACUGCCAAGCCUUGAUCAGACUACACCGUACAACAGAAAAUGGAUGGUAUAUACACGAUUUCAGAACUGAACACAACCACCAUUUUGUCAUCGUCGUGUGGCGAGAAACUACAUUGGCCAUCACACAGGAUCAUUGACACACCAAAUAUAUAGUGAAAUGAUGUGCUCUAUGUUCAUUCUACUGUGUUAUUGAGAUCCUGUGGUGUAAUUAUACUGCUGUGUUAUUUUGAGAAUUAUAUUAUUA